GUUUUGGGGUGAUUUUGGGUGAUUUAGGGGUGAUUUAGGGUGAUUUUGGGGCGAUUCGGGGCGGUUCUGGGCGCUCCCCUGACCUGAGGGCGCGGCUGAGCUUGUCGUAGUUCAUGUGGGGCUUGCACUUGCGCACCCCCCAGAGCCGCGCCACCUCGUCGGGGUCCUUGAUGACGAACUCGCCGUAGUCGCCCUGCCAGGCGAUGACCUCGCGGUACUGCUCCUGCCGCAGCAGCUCCAGGAUGAAGUGCCACAGCUGGAUCUGCCGCGAGCCGGGGCUCGACUCCGCCUUGUACGCCCACUCGGGGAACGCGAAACCUGCGGGGACAGCGGCGUGACGUCAUCGGCGUGACGUCAUCGGCGUGACGUCAUCGGCGUCGCUGCCAGUGCCGUGAUGUCACCGCCAUCGUCAUCAUCAUCAUUAUCGUUAUCAUCAUUGUGAUGCCAUCGUCACUGUGACAUCCGUGUGAGGUCAUCAUCACCGUCAUCAUCACCAUCAUCAUCAUCAUCACUGUGACGUCGUCACUGUGACGUCAUCAGUGCGACUUCAUCAUCAUCAUUAUCAUCAUCAUCAUCAUCAUUAUCAUCGUCAUUGUUGUCAUUGUUAUCAGCAGUGUGACAUCGUGAAUCGGUGUGAUGUCAUCAUCAUCAAUAUGAUAUCAUCAAUGUGACGUCAUCAGUGUGACAUCAUCUGUGUGACAUGUGUGUGACAUCAUCAUCACUGUGACACCCUGCUGUGCCCACUCGGGGAACGUGAACCCUGAGGGGACACGUGUGACGUCAUCGAGGUGACAUCAUCACCGCUGUGACACCCCCGGUGUCACUGCUGGGCCCGCCUGGAGCCGUGGGGGACACGAGGUCCUCACCUGGAUCUGGGCGGGCAGCACUGGGGCUUCCAGCUGUGUCCAGGUGUGUCCCCAGGUGUCCCCAGGUGUGCCCAGGUGUGUCCCAGACCCCCCCAGGUGUCCCCAGGUGUCCCCCCCGUACCUGGGGCCCAGAGCGCGGGCACGGGCGCCGUGAGGAGCAGGUCGGACAGGCAGGUGCAGUCCAUGGCCAGGGUCACACCUGGGGGGGGAGGGGNNNNNNNNNNNNNNNNNNNNGCGUGACGUCAUCGGCGUGACGUCAUCGGCGUCGCUGCCAGUGCCGUGAUGUCACCGCCAUCGUCAUCAUCAUCAUUAUCGUUAUCAUCAUUGUGAUGCCAUCGUCACUGUGACAUCCGUGUGAGGUCAUCAUCACCGUCAUCAUCACCAUCAUCGUCAUCAUCACUGUGACGUCGUCACUGUGACGUCAUCAGUGCGACUUCAUCAUCAUCAUCAUCAUCAUCACCGUCAUCAUCACCGUCAUCAUCACCGUCAUCAUCAUCAUCAUCACUGUGACAUCGUCACUGUGACGUCAUCAGUGCGACUUCAUCAUCAUCAUCAUCAUCAUCAUCAUCAUCAUCACUGUGACGUCAUCACUGUGACGUCAUCAGUGCGACUUCAUCCUCAUCAUUAUCAUCAUUAUCAUCAUCAUCAUCGUUAUCAUCGUUGUGAUGCCAUCGUCACCGUGACGUCCGUGUGAUGUCAUCAUCACCCUCAUCACCCUCAUCAUCAUCAUCACUGUGACGUCAUCACUGACAUCAUCAGUGUUACUUCGUCAUCAUCAUCAUCAUCAUCAUCAUUGUUAUCGUCAUCGUUAUCAGCAGUGUGACAUCAUCACUGUGACGUCAUCACUGACAUCAUCAGUGCGACUUCAUCAUCAUCAUCAUCAUCAUCAUCAUCAUCGUUAUCAUCAUCGUUAUCAGCAGUGUGACAUCAUCAUCGGCGUGACGUCAUCGGCGUCAUUGCCAGUGCUGUGACGUCACUGUUGUCGUCGGUGUGACGUCAUCGUUAUCGCCAUAAUCAUCGUCAUCAUCAGCGUGACGUCACCAGCGUGACGUCAUCAGUGUGGCAUAUGUGUGAUGUCAUCAUCGUCAUCAUCAUCACCAUCAGUGUGACAUCAUCAUCAUUAUCGUCAUUAUCACCCUUAUAAUCAUUGUCAUCAUCAGUAUGACGUCAUCGGUGUGACGUCAUCACCACCAUCAUCAUCAUCAUCAUCAUCACUGUGACGUUGCCCCUGUGACGUCAUCAGUGUGACGUCAU
ensembl:lncRNA